rnacentral:rRNA from 1 species
UACGAAGGGGGCUAGCGUUGUUCGGAAUCACUGGGCGUAAAGCGCACGUAGGCGGAUUUUUAAGUCAGGGGUGAAAUCCCGAGGCUCAACCUCGGAACUGCCUUUGAUACUGGGGAUCUUGAGUCCGGGAGAGGUGAGUGGAACUGCGAGUGUAGAGGUGAAAUUCGUAGAUAUUCGCAAGAACACCAGUGGCGAAGGCGGCUCACUGGCCCGGUACUGACGCUGAGGUGCGAAAGCGUGGGGAGCGAACAGG